CCGUGCUAGGCGGGGAACUAGCGGUGCCCUGAACCUGCAAUCCGCUCCAGCAGGGCUGAAUCCCCUCCCGAGGUCCCCGAUCCCGACAGCCGCCGCCCGUGCGACGUCGAGGACCGGGUCCCGCGCAGCGGCGACUCGUGAACCGUGUCAGGUCCGGAAGGAAGCAGCACUAAACGAUCUUCGUCGGGUGCCGCGGAACGGCCUGGUCUGAGUCGCUCGGACGGAUGGGCAUCGGGAAGACCGGAUCGACGGAGGGUGCACGG
rnacentral:SRP_RNA from 1 species